rnacentral:rRNA from 1 species
UUUGCAUCAUGAUUUAGCCAGAAACACUCAAGCAAAGAGAACUUUAGUUUGACCCCCCGAAACCAAGCGAGCUACUCCAAGACAGCCUAUUUAUAGGGCAAACCCGUCUCUGUGGCAAAAGAGUGGGAUGAGCUUUGAGUAGAGGUGACAGACCUACCGAGCUUGGUAAUAGCUGGUUGCCUGGGAACUGAAUAGAAGUUCAGCCUCUUGGCUUCUCUGCUCCGCGCCCUUCUACCCUGUCACCCCGACAGUGAGAAACCCAGAGAGUUAGUCAAAGGGGGUACAGCCCCUUUGAAACAGAUACAACUUUUUAAGGAGGUUAAAAAUCAUACUGCUUACAAGGUGGACGUUCUAGUGGGCCUAAAAGCAGCCACC